GGGCCCCUCUCGGGUUACCGAAUUCAGACAAACUCCGAAUGCCAAUUAAUUUAACUUGGGAGUCAGAACAUGGGUGAUAAGGUCCGUGUUCGAAAGGGAAACAGCCCAGACCACCAGCUAAGGUCCCAAAAUAUAUGUUAAGUGGAAAAGGAUGUGGCGUUGCCCAGACAACUAGGAUGUUGGCUUAGAAGCAGCCAUCAUUUAAAGAGUGCGUAAUAGCUCACUAGUCGAGUGACACUGCGCCGAAAAUGUACCGGGGCUAAACAUAUUACCGAAGCUGUGGAUUGUCCUUUGGACAAUGGUAGGAGAGCGUUCUAAGGGCGUUGAAGCAUGAUCGUAAGGACAUGUGGAGCGCUUAGAAGUGAGAAUGCCGGUGUGAGUAGCGAAAGACGGGUGAGAAUCCCGUCCACCGAUUGACUAAGGUUUCCAGAGGAAGGCUCGUCCGCUCUGGGUUAGUCGGGUCCUAAGCUGA
rnacentral:rRNA from 1 species